rnacentral:rRNA from 1 species
AUAUCAAUAAGCGGAGGAAAAGAAACCAACAGGGAUUGCCCUAGUAACGGCGAGUGAAGCGGCAACAGCUCAAAUUUGAAAUCUGGCCUCGGCCCGAGUUGUAAUUUGCAGAGGAAGCUUUGGGUGCGGUACCGACUGAGUCCCCUGGAACGGGGCGCCACAGAGGGUGAGAGCCCCGUAUAGUCGGACGCCAAACCUGUGUAAAGCUCCUUCGACGAGUCGAGUAGUUUGGGAAUGCUGCUCAAAAUGGGAGGUAAAUUUCUUCUAAAGCUAAAUACCGGCCAGAGACCGAUAGCGCACAAGUAGAGUGAUCGAAAGAUGAAAAGCACUUUGAAAAGAGGGUUAAAUAGCACGUGAAAUUGUUGAAAGGGAAGCGCUUGUGACCAGACUUGCGCCCGGCUGAUCAUCNGGNGUUCUCACCGGUGCNCUCUGCCGGGCUCAGGCCAGCAUCGGUUCUNNNGGGGNGANNNANNNNNUGGGAACGUAGCUCCUCCGGGAGUGUUAUAGCCCUNGGUGCAAUGNCCNNCGCGGGGNNCGAGGNNCGCGCAUCUGCNAGGAUGCUGGCGUAAUGGUCACCAGCGA